rnacentral:rRNA from 1 species
UGGGGAAUUUUCCGCAAUGGGCGAGAGCCUGACGGAGCAACGCCGCGUGAGGGAGGAAGGCCUGUGGGUUGUAAACCUCUUUUCUCAAGGAAGAAGAUCUGACGGUACUUGAGGAAUCAGCAUCGGCUAACUCCGUGCCAGCAGCCGCGGUAAGACGGAGGAUGCAAGCGUUAUCCGGAAUUAUUGGGCGUAAAGCGUCCGUAGGUGGUUAAGCAAGUCUGUUGUUAAAGCCCACAGCUCAACUGUGGAUGGGCAAUGGAAACUGCGUGACUAGAGUGUGGAAGGGGUAGAGGGAAUUCCUAGUGUAGCGGUGAAAUGCGUAGAUAUUAGGAAGAACACCAGUGGCGAAGGCGCUCUACUGGGCCAACACUGACACUGAUGGACGAAAGCUAGGGGAGCGAAAGGGAUUAGAUACCCCCGUAGUCC